CACCUGUGGUUCUCUUUCCUAGAGGGAAGGCAUCUGGGAUGCCUGCCAAGCUCCCAGUCCCAAGGACAAGGGAGCCAGGAUUCAGAUAGGUAGAGGCCUGGAUGCACUGGAGGGUGGGGUGGAAGGCUUGCAGGGGCUGGGUGCCAGGCAGCGGAGGUCCACAUAGGCAUUACAGAGCCAUACUGCCCAGGAAGCAGGGGAAGGCUGGAUCCCCAGGAAGACAGUGGGGCUAUAGCUACAGAGGUCCUGUCCUUUCCGGUCACUGUCCUGCUUCUGGGCCUGGCACUGCGCCCAGGACACUAACCAUGCCCUGGUGCCAGAAAGGUUGGGGACCGCUGCCUUGGAGGGAAGGCCACUGUCUUGGAAGGAAGGUCCCAGAAGGCAAUCAAGAUGUGAUACUGGGCAGUAAGGAGACCUGGAAGGAGCUGAUUUGGCCUCAGACAUUUUAACCAGCCCUUGUAAAGUUCUCAGUACCUGGCCAUUGUCCUGUAAAUAUUACUAAAACAGAACUGCCUGUUUGGUGGGAUGAUUGUACCGCCCUCCUACCCCAAGAGCCAUGCUCUACAGAUGAGAAGAUGAGCUUUCUCAGUGACAUCAAAGGGGCACAAAAAGUCAAAGUAACAUUGGUGACUUCUCUGGAGCAACAUCGGCCCCCUCCCAGUUUUUCUUGCUAGCUGGGGGCCCCCAAAUGACUGAGCUUGGAUAUAUUAUCUAUUUGUCUAUUCAUUCACUCAGUAUUUCUUGAGUGUAAAUGACUACAACUCCAAAAGAAGACAAUUUGGCAACAUCUAUCAAAAUGGCAAAUGCAAAUACCCUUUUGAUUGAGCCAUCUCUUCUGAGAAUGUGUUCCAUGGAUGUACUCACCCUUGUGCUUAAUCAAAUCUGUAUAAGGUUAUCCACUGCUGCAUUGUGGGAAAUAUAAAAACACUGGAAGCAACCCAAGGGAUCGUCACUAGGGGACUGGUUACAAAAAUGAUGGUGCAGCCAUGUAGCUGUAACACGAAGAAUGGCAUCCCUCUGUGUAUUCUUAUGAAAGGAACUCAUAUGUAUUACUAAAGAGCUUUACAAAACAAAGUGCAGGACACUGCAUAGGAUUCUACCCUUAUAUAACAAAAGGAGGAAAAUAAGAAUAUACAUAUUUACUUGAAUAUGCAUAAAGAAACCCAGAAAGAACAUGCAAGAAAUGAAUAAGAGUGGGUUUUUGUGGGAAUGAGGUGGCACUGGGUGGAUGGGGUUUUAAUGCCUGGAGAAAGAAGAUUGUUAGGGAUAUCUUUUUUAUCCUUUUUAUUAUUUAUUUGUUUGUUUUUAUUUCUGGCUGCGCUGGGUCUUUGUUGCUGCAUGUAGGCUUUCUCUAGCUGCAGUGAGUGGCGCUACUCUCUAAUGGCAGUGUGUGGGCUUCUCUUUGUGGUGGCUUCUCUUGUUGCAGAGCACGGUCUCUAAAGCGCGGGGCCUUAGUGGCUGUGAUACGUGGGCUUCGUUACCCCUCAGCACGUGGAAUCUUCCUAGACCAGCGAUGGAACCCGUGUCCCCUGCAUUGGCAGGCGGACUCCCACCCACUGGGCCACCAGGGGAGUACUACACUUUUCAUUUUUAAAAACCAUGUGGAUGUAUUACACAUUUGGAUGAUAAUUUAAAAUAUACCUAUGGAGCAUCUAACUAUGCCAAACAUGGUUCUAGGCACAGAGCACAGUGGAGAAUAAGGCAGACAGUCUGAGAAAAAAAGAAAUAGGGUUGUUCAUUCUGCACUCCCUACUAUUGUGGAACAAAUUCUAAUGGAAUAACCAACUAAGGGGCACAAGAAUGCAGUGUUCAUAAACUAAAGCAAACCUAUGACUAAAAUGUACUGAAA
ensembl:lncRNA